UACGAAGGGGGCUAGCGUUGUUCGGAAUUACUGGGCGUAAAGGGCGCGUAGGCGGCCAUUCAAGUCAGAGGUGAAAGCCCAAGGCUCAACCUUGGAACUGCCUUUGAUACUGUUUGGCUUGAGACCGGUAGAGGUAAGUGGAACUGCGAGCGUAGAGGUGAAAUGCGUAGAUAUCUGGAGGAACACCGGUGGCGAAGGCGGCAUCCUGGACCGACACUGACACUGAGGAGCGAAAGCCAGGGGAGCAAACGGG
rnacentral:rRNA from 1 species